ensembl:lincRNA
GUAAAACUGCUUUAUACAAGGCACCGAGUGUGUGAUGUCUUAAGGUUCUUUAUGGACUUUGUUGAUUCGGAGGGGUUGAUGAAUGGAUUGUGUGGAAUGUUUGACUCUAGUCUGAGGAUUAACAUGUUAACAUAUGACGAAUUCUUUUUAGGGAUAGUAGAAGGAAUGAAUGGUCUGCACCGCGAGCGGGGUUCCUUGAAAUAAUGCAACAAGUUUGCAUACGGCUAGAACGAGCUGUGAAACCAGUCACCGCUGAUACUGUCUCAGUUCAUGGACGCAUGCACUCCGCUAGCUGCGCUGCUAGUCGAUUCGACACAAAAAAUACACAGUGAUAGUCAUUAUUCUCCAGUCGCUACAAAAGAUUUCAUAUAGCAGAACGUACGGACGAGAGAACAAUAUCCAUGAGGGAUUUAGAAACCAAUAAAGAGCUUCGGAGCGCAACAAAAAUGGAGAACGACACCGGUCCUGGCAAGAGGCGGUGCUGCCUUACAGGGACCGUGAACGCUAUACCAUAUGCGUUUUCUCUUGUUUCUUUCGCCUUUUGUUUUUUAUUGAAUGUUCAGACCAGCGAGAUUAAGGACAGAAUCGUGGAUCUUGAGACUGGUGGUGGCGCCCGGCUAUUAAGCCCUUUUUAUGGGAUCUCUAUGGAUCAAUUUCAUUCAAUGAUACAGCAACGAGUGGACGAACUGCUGUCACAGCACUCCAAUGACCACUUGGCUAAAAUAAGGACUGCUCGACAAGCUUCACCAUCUGAAUGCAACUGCCCACCAGGUCCACCAGGCAAAAGAGGAAGAAGAGGACGCAAUGGAGACCCUGGACCUCCUGUAAGUACCAUGGCAACAAGCUGAAUUCAGUGUGUAUGACUAAUUCAACAUUAUACAGGUAGAGUGUCUUACGUACCACUCAGACUGAAAAAAACAGCUAAUCUGUUUGAAUGGAGUAACAUCAUAAAGGUUUUUAAUUGUUUUUGAUUUCUCUUACUAAUGUUAAGAUCAAAUGUUUCUGGGCUUGCAGUAGUAUGGUUAAUCUUUCUUACAUGAAGCUAAAUUCUGUGUAUUUUUUUUUCGUCUCACAUGCAUUAGAAGGCAAGGGAGCUGUGGUGCAUAACACAUUACAUGUUUGUCCUUAAGUUUUUAUUUUUAUUUUUUAUUUUGUUUGUAUUUCUACUGUGUUCUGUUAUAUCUACUUUGCACUUGCAGGACCAACAUAGGGUUAUUUUGAAAACACGUCGGCAUACUUGAGAUGCAGAUAGGAGUUAUCUCCCCUUAGUGUUUGAUUGCCAGUCGUGCAGCUAAUUGGUUUGCCCCUCACCAUCAUUGUACAUCACAUUAUUACUUUUAGUUAUAAAUAUUACACACAAAGUACAACUGUUUCCAGAAUUUGAGCCAAAUAAUACUUUUAUCUUUUAUCGUUAGAUUAACCUAAAACUACACUUAAAUUUGUCCUGAUGUUUGGCAUGAGUCAUAUAUUGCAUUUUAUUGAUAGUUUGAAUUUUACUUAUGCAUUGCAUAGUUAUUUAAAUUAACGAUAUGUAGUUUAUGUGACUUUCAUGUUUUAAUAAUGUGAUUGCUUUUAAUGGUGAGGAUGUUGAUGAUAAUGAUGCUGGUAUAAUUAUGGCAUUUGAAAACAAAGCAUUCUUUGACUGAUUGGAAGUUGGAAAAUAAAGCAUUCUAUGACUGAUUGGAAGUUGGAAAAAGUUAUAUAUUUUAUUAAAAGCUGAUAGAAAAAUAGCACAUUCAUAUUCAUGAAGUCUGUCUGUGAUGAGGGGGGCAUUGUCUAACGAAGUCUGUGACAGACAUCGUUCAACUAAAUUUUGAUCACUGCCUAAGUAAGUUCAAAAUGACAUUCACCUGCAUCUGCUUGCAGUGAUUAGAAAAAUGCUGCAGAGUGCAGAGAAAAGGAUUGACAACUUUGACUGGAUUGACGAGAGACUUUACGCCCUAUUAUUCGCCCUACGCAAUAAGGUGCAAGGCGUGCAUGGUACAAUUUGUUGCUAAUUUCAGACCAGCGCAACUGUCAUUUUUACUAUUUGGCCCACGUUGUUUAAAUAGUAAAUCCAUUUGCACCACUUUGUUCACUAAAGGGCGUGCUGGUCUGAAAAGGAGUUGUGUUAAGGCGCAUUUUUGGCAAUUUUUUAUUUUAAGACAAAUGAAAUAGACCACGUCGUUGACAACCUAAAAGCUGGUGUAAAGUGCAGUGGAGAGCUUUUAGCUUAAUACACACAGGAUGUACAGCAAUAUUACAAAAUGAUAAUUUUCUAAAAGAAUAUAAAAAACGUGACACACACACACACACACACACACACACACACACACACACACACACACACACACACACACACACACACACACACACACACACACAGGCUGGAUUUUGAAUCAGAUUUACUGAGUUAGUAAGGAUAAAAAAGAAUACCCAGUAUUCAAAAAAAAAUGUUUUU